AGUGAGAAUCGAAGGAGAGAAGGAAUUCUGGGUUCGCCAGUGAGAUUCUGAUUCCGGCGACGGCGGCGAGCGUGAAUGGUACUGAUAGCUUCAUCUCAGCCUCGUGAUCCUUCCUAUAGUCUCGAUUGCGUUGAUGGAGCUUCGGUGAGAGAGAAUCGAAGAAGGAAAGCUUUUGAGUUUUCCGACGAGGGUUCGAAGUUUUCCGGCGAAACUGGGUUCGACUCAGAAGUCAGGUUUUGGCAGUGGAGGACCACCGUGAAGCUACUAUUUUCGGCGGCGGAAGUGGCGGAUGUUAGCGGUGAUUAAGGACUUUUGGGUUGCUUCAUUAUGGAUGCAUGAACAGAGCAUGGGAUUGCUGUACAAUCUACACCCAGAAUUAACGCUGAGUCUGGGGUAUCAACGUGUUCACCAGUGAAUCCAAUUAAGGUGAAGGACUCCAGUUACCCGGAACAAUAAUGAUGGUGGUGUUGGCCUAGGAAAACCUAAUGGAAUCAAGCAGCAAUAUUCCGGUUAGUGUUUUAUGCAUAUGAUAUUAAAGUAAAGUGAUUUAUGCAUGAAAGAUAUAUUUUUCGAUCUCUUGUGAAUUAUUGUUUGAUGACCUGAGAGUGAGCGGGGCAUAGUGACUUCCUUGGGUUUCGAUCCCUUAAACCUCCGGAGGGGCUGUACGGACUGGAGGACGUUUAACAUCCUUUGAGGUGUGGCGUCGUUCCUAGGCGGUAUGGCGUAAAUGGACACUCUUGCUACACUUUGCCGGUGUGUAUGAUAAUAAUCAUGGUAAGGUGGUAGUUGGCUUGAGAUAGAUCGGUCAUCAGGUUUGUAUAUCUACUUUGGGCCCUACUAGCAUUUUUACAAAAAAUGAUUAUUUUAAACUGUUACACAUUAUUUUCACUACUAGCCAUGACAAAUGUUUUAAAUUGUUUUUACAUCUAGUUGGG